UACGAAGGGGGCUAGCGUUGCUCGGAAUUACUGGGCGUAAAGCGCACGUAGGCGGCUUUCUAAGUCGGGGGGUGAAAUCCUGGAGCUCAACUCCAGAACUGCCUUCGAUACUGGAGAGCUCGAGUCCGGGAGAGGUGAGUGGAACUGCGAGUGUAGAGGUGAAAUUCGUAGAUAUUCGGCAAGAACACCAGUGGCGAAAGGCGGCUCACUGGCCCGGG
rnacentral:rRNA from 1 species